rnacentral:rRNA from 1 species
CCUACGGGUGGCAGCAGUGGGGAAUAUUGGACAAUGGGGGGAACCCUGAUCCAGCCAUGCCGCGUGUGUGAAGAAGGCCCUCGGGUUGUAAAGCACUUUCAGUGAGGAAGAACGCCUGGUGGUUAAUACCCAUCAGGAAAGACAUCACUCACAGAAGAAGCACCGGCUAACUCCGUGCCAGCAGCCGCGGUAAUACGGAGGGUGCGAGCGUUAAUCGGAAUUACUGGGCGUAAAGCGCGCGUAGGUGGCUUGAUAAGCCGGUUGUGAAAGCCCCGGGCUCAACCUGGGAACGGCAUCCGGAACUGUCAAGCUUGAGUGCAGGAGAGGAAGGUAGAAUUCCCGGUGUAGCGGUGAAAUGCGUAGAGAUCGGGAGGAAUACCAGUGGCGAAGGCGGCCUUCUGGACUGACACUGACACUGAGGUGCGAAAGCGUGGGUAGCAAACAGGAUUAGAUACCCCGGUAGUC